AGCUCAUUCACAUGCAAAUCUCCCCAGGGACUGGGAGGCUGGGCCUCAGACCGUUGAGAGCUGGAAAACAGUCCCAGGACAAGAAAACACAGCAGUGUUGUGUUCUUCUGUGGCAGAGGCAGCCUGGUUCAAGUUACCCAUGGCCAGUCCUGGUCCACAAGCAAGAUGAUCCUCCUUCUGACAUAUGGUCCAAAGGUCAGUAAUAGCCUAAUGCUACAUCAUAGUGCUUAUGGCACUCACCUUGCUUCAUCUCAUCACAUAGACAUUUUAUCAUCUCAGUACCAUCAGAAGAAGGGAAUUCUCUGAGGAUCUUGGAACCUGUCCACUGGGGAUAAGCAGGCAUUACUGUAAUGCUCAUACUUUACUAAUCGGCAAGUUGUUUCUCCCUACCCAGACGCAUAGGAAGACAGAAAGUUUCAGAGAGACUAUGUCAACAAGAAGAUGGUUGAUGUGUAGAGCUCAGGCCUUCUGACCCCGGAUCCAGGACUCUUUCCCCUCAUCUACAGGCUCGGGAUCCUGCCUAUGGAUUUUGAACAUCCAUGAGCCAUGCUAUCUUGUGUCUGCAAGAUUGCAGGGAAGGAAAAAUAAUUUCUAUUAGAAAAUAAACUACUAGGCUCUGUUAUAGGCUGUACUGUAUCUUUUCAGAAUUCAUAUGUUGAAGCCCUAACCUUACCCAGGACCUCAGAAUGUGACAAUUUGGAAAUAGAGUCUUUGAGAGGUGAUUAAGUUAAAAUGGGGCCCUGAUCUGAUGUCAUUUGUGUCCUUAUAGUAAGAGGAGAUUAGGACACAGACAACACAGAAAAAAAGACCACGUGAGAAAACAGUGAGAAAAUGGCUAUCUGCAAGCCAAGGAGAGAUACCUCAAAAGAGCAUUUUGACCUUGAACUUUAAAACACAUGCCAACAUCUUGAUUUUGAAGUGCUAAUCUCCAAAACUAUAAGAAAAUAAAUUUCUGCUGUUUUACUCCCCAGUCUGUGGUACUUUGCCAUAGCCUAGCAAAGCCCUAGCAAACUGACACAAGCUCUCUUACGCAAAGUUCCUGAAAAGCAUGAAACACAUGUCCCCCAGGGGUGUCAGGCUGAUGUCAAGUGCCACACACAUGGAAUUAAAAAAUACUGAGUUAAUUAAUAUUCUGGUAAAUAAUAUUUGGUAAAUAAUAAAAGAGACCUUCACUAAUGCUCGAAUAGAAUUUAUUUUCCUCACAUAGCAGGAAGUGAGGAGGAACAUAGGUCUGGGGUAGCUGCUUGACAUUGUUUUCUUGUUUUCUGCUCCGCCAGCCAUAGUAUAUGGGUUUCAUCCUCAUGCUUGCCACUUCAUGGUCACCAAAAGGCUGCUGUAACUCCAGAUGUCAAGUCCACAUUCAAAACAUAAAAAAAUGAGGAAGAAAAAAAGGGGACUGGGGGACUUCUCCUAAUGUCUCACAGACCAGAGCUGGGUCACAUGGCCACCACUAACUGGAAAGGAGACUGUGAAGUCUGUUUCUUACUUUUACAGCUUUAUAGAGCAGAGCCAGGUGGCAAGGAAGACAGGGAUUAGAAAUGGAAAUUGCAUGAGUCAACCUUCAAUAUCUGUCACCACCAUAUGCCAAGAAAGUCCUGCCUUUUUCAUUUCUCUUUCACUCCUGAUAUUGUUGAGAAGAAAAUCUCAAGGUGAUGCCAUUAUGCCACUGAUGCUCAUUCUCAUUUAAUAAGGAAAGACUGGUCUCAAAUUCAGAGUCUUGAAGAGGCAAUAUUAUUCUGCUAGCAUUUAACAAUUUUUACUCAUUAUUUUUAUUUUUAUAUUUAGAGUAGCAACAUACUUUCAAAUAUAUGGAUUUCAGUUAAAAAAACAAAUCCAGAGUAAAAUAAAAAUAUGAAAUAAAUAAUAAUAACACAGAUGAUAUUCAUGGAUACAAAAAAUUUAUAAAUGUAAGUGACUAAAUAUUGGAAACAUUGUUCUAGAGGGUGGACACGGUAAAAGCAGCUCAGCACUUUGGAAUAGGACUGGCCUAUGAGUCAGUAUGCUGGGGAUGGGGGUCACAUUCCGCCCCAAUCUCCUGUGAAGCUUUGUUUCCAGGAAGAAUGUUUUCAUCCUGAAAACAACUGACGAAGGCCAUGCAUUAUUAUCUGUAUUUUACAUAAAUGAUUAAUAAUAUUGAAAUGAGGUCGUUGAGUCCUAGUGGAGAGAAAUGUGUUGCCCAGGGUCUCAUUGAAAUUAGAUGGUGGGCUGAGACCAUGAAUCAGAGUUCCCUACUCCCAUGUUAUUUCCUGUUAGGUUGUUGGUCACUCUAUUUGAGAAUGAGUACUUUGAAAAGAAAACUUACUUGUUUUUCUGAAGGCACCAAAUGAUCCUUGCCUGGCCAACACAGCUGGCUCUCCAUGACACAUUUUUAUCGAACAAGGAGGUUGAUGAGGUGUUUUGACCUCUCUUGAAGAGCAAAAUCUUCAUGCUUCCUCAGCUGCCAGUAGGCUUAUAGCUUCUAGAAUCUACUUUGGUAGCUGUGUAAGAGAGGACACCUCUCUCCUUUUCCCACUUUUCAGCCUAUCCUGAUUCCCACCUCUUUCCUUAUGCUUCAGGCCAUAAUCUAAGCUUAUUAGUGGGCAGUGGAAGUAAAUCAACUGGCCAUACACAUCAGCUUCUCUUGCUUUUUUGCUUUAUUUCAUUCAAUGAAAAAAAUAUCUGGGAACUAGCCUUCUUUGGGUCUUCUGGCUCUCUCUUUGCUCUACUUUCUCCAUGCACCUGGCCAAAGAGUGAUAGGGGAGGAUAUUAGGAUUUAAGCUCUGGCAGGCAGUGGGCAUGCUCUUUUUAAGCUUCUGAUCAAAGGAGGUCUUGUCAUGGAGCCAUUGAGCUCCAGCUUUACUGGACACCCCAAGUCUGUGGAGCCAGGUACUAGCCUAGCUGGUAACACAGGGUACCUGGUUUUCUGUUUGGUAAUUGGUCCUCAUGGUGAUCUUGCAGAAGGAGGGGUGAUGUGUAAGGAAUGAUCCUGGGAUUCUUAAAUAUUUGAGACAUAUACCAUCUGUUUAGGUUGAACUGUGUCCUUCCCAAACUCAUAUGUUGAUGUUCUAGAAUAUGAUUCAAGGAGAGGGAUCUCAAGAGAACCCAAAUCUCAGAAUAUGAUUAUAAGGAGAGAGGUCUCAAAAGAACCCGAACCUGCCAACACCUUGAUCUUAGACUUCUAGCCUCCAGAACUGUGAGAAAAUAGAUUUCUGCUGUGCAAGUAACCCAGUCUGGUAUUUUGUUAUGGCAGUCCUCGGAAACUAAUACACCUUCCAUAUUUCCCAUACCUUUGCUCACCUAAAUCCAUUUUAUAGCAACUAUAGUUGCUAUUUACUCACAUUAUGUCU